rnacentral:rRNA from 1 species
AGUGAACGCUGGCGGUAGGCCUAACACAUGCAAGUCGAACGGCAGCACAGUAAGAGCUUGCUCUUACGGGUGGCGGGUGGCGGACGGGAGAGGAAUACAUCGGAAUCUACUUUUUCGUGGGGGAUAACGUAGGGAAACUUACGCUAAUACAGCAUACGACCUACGGGUGAAAGCAGGGGAUCUUCGGACCUUGCGCGAUUAAAUGAGCCGAUGUCGGAUUAGCUAGUUGGCGGGGUAAAGGCCCACCAAGGCGACGAUCCGUAGCUGGUCUGAGAGGAUGAUCAGCCACACUGGAACUGAGACACGGUCCAGACGCCUACGGGAGGCAGCAGUGGGGAAUAUUGGACAAUGGUCGCAAGCCUGAUCCAGCCAUACCGCGUGGGUGAAGAAGGCGUUCGGGUUGUAAAGCCCUUUUGUUGGGAAAGAAAAGCAGCAGGUUAAUACCCCGCGGUUCUGACGGUACCCAAAGAAUAAGCACCGGCUAACUUCGUG